UACGUAGGGCGCAAGCGUUAUCCGGAAUUAUUGGGCGUAAAGAGCUCGUAGGCGGUUUGUCGCGUCUGCCGUGAAAAUCCGGGGCUCAACUCCGGAUCUGCGGUGGGUACGGGCAGACUAGAGUGAUGUAGGGGAGACUGGAAUUCCUGGUGUAGCGGUGAAAUGCGCAGAUAUCAGGAGGAACACCGAUGGCGAAGGCAGGUCUCUGGGCAUUAACUGACGCUGAGGAGCGAAAGCGUGGGGAGCGAACAGG
rnacentral:rRNA from 1 species